AAUGGGUCAGCGACUUAUAUUCUGUAGCAAGGUUAACCGAAUAGGGGAGCCGAAGGGAAACCGAGUCUUAACUGGGCGUUAAGUUGCAGGGUAUAGACCCGAAACCCGGUGAUCUAGCCAUGGGCAGGUUGAAGGUUGGGUAACACUAACUGGAGGACCGAACCGACUAAUGUUGAAAAAUUAGCGGAUGACUUGUGGCUGGGGGUGAAAGGCCAAUCAAACCGGGAGAUAGCUGGUUCUCCCCGAAAGCUAUUUAGGUAGCGCCUCGUGAAUUCAUCUCCGGGGGUAGAGCACUGUUUCGGCAAGGGGGUCAUCCCGACUUACCAACCCGAUGCAAACUGCGAAUACCGGAGAAUGUUAUCACGGGAGACACACGGCGGGUGCUAACGUCCGUCGUGAAGAGGGAAACAACCCAGACCGCCAGCUAAGGUCCCAAAGUCAUGGUUAAGUGGGAAACGAUGUGGGAAGGCCCAGACAGCCAGGAUGUUGGCUUAGAAGCAGCCAUCAUUUAAAGAAAGCGUAAUAGCUCACUGGUCGAGUCGGCCUGCGCGGAAGAUGUAACGGGGCUAAACCAUGCACCGAAGCUGCGGCAGCGACACUAUGUGUUGUUGGGUAGGGGAGCGUUCUGUAAGCCUGCGAAGGUGUACUGUGAGGUAUGCUGGAGGUAUCAGAAGUGCGAAUGCUGACAUAAGUAACGAUAAAGCGGGUGAAAAGCCCGCUCGCCGGAAGACCAAGGGUUCCUGUC
rnacentral:rRNA from 1 species